rfam:Salmo salar isolate Sally breed double haploid chromosome ssa22, whole genome shotgun sequence.
UGUUUGCAUGGUUGUAAGUCUCUCUGGAUAAGAGCGUCUGCUAAAUGAUAUAAA